rnacentral:sRNA from 1 species
GCUGGGCAUGGUGGCUCAUGCCUGUAAUCCCAGCAGCUCGGGAGGCUGAGGCAGGAGGUUCAUGAGUUCAAAGCCAGCCUCAGUAACUGUGAGGUGCUAAGCAACUCAUUGAGACCCUGUCUCUA